CCCGCGUGGCGGUGAAGACGGUCAACGAGUCAGCCAGUCUCCGAGAGCGGAUUGAGUUCCUCAAUGAGGCCUCGGUCAUGAAGGGCUUCACCUGCCAUCAUGUGGUGCGCCUCCUGGGAGUGGUGUCCAAGGGCCAGCCCACACUGGUGGUGAUGGAGCUGAUGGCUCACGGAGACCUGAAGAGCUACCUCCGUUCUCUGCGGCCAGAGGCUGAGAAUAAUCCCGGCCGCCCUCCCCCUACCCUUCAAGAGAUGAUUCAGAUGGCGGCAGAGAUUGCUGAUGGGAUGGCCUACCUGAACGCCAAGAAGUUUGUGCAUCGGGACCUGGCAGCGAGAAACUGCAUGGUCGCCCAUGAUUUUACUGUCAAAAUUGGAGGUUCGUCUGGCUUUCUGCUUUGAAAACAUAACGACCCAGGCCAG
rnacentral:sRNA from 1 species